UACGUAGGGUGCGAGCGUUAAUCGGAAUUACUGGGCGUAAAGCGUGCGCAGGCGGUUCGACAAGUCCGAUGUGAAAGCCCCGGGCUCAACCUGGGAAUGGCAUUGGAAACUGGCGGGCUGGAGUGUGGCAGAGGGGGGUGGAAUUCCCGGUGUAGUGGUGAUAUGCGUAGAUAUCGGGAGGAACACCAGUGGCGAAGGCGGCUUUCUGGGCCUUACCUGACGCUGAGACGCGAAAGCGUGGGGAGCGAACCGG
rnacentral:rRNA from 1 species